CUUAGCCAAAAUCUUAGUUUUGCUGUUGCCCAGCAAAACCAGCACCUCUUUGAUAAAAUUUAUUAUAGCGAACCCAAAGGCUCUUUUAAGAGCCAUCCACAUUGCUUCACUGAUUGGACAUCUAAUUCAUCUUUAUUGGACAUCUAAUUCAUCUUUGUAAGUAACAGUUACAUAUUUCAGAUUUAAAGCAAUAGUUCAUCUUAUGUUUAUCAGCUUACCCCC